AGUGAAGAGGGAAGAGACCAAGAUUGAAAGCUGGCGUCUUCGGCGUCCGCAUUGUAAUCUCAAGAAGUGUUUUCCGCUUCGGACCAUGCCUAAGUCCCUUGGAAAAGGGCAUCAUAGAGGGUGAUAAUCCCGUACAUGGCAUGGAGCGCCCGAAGCUUUGUGAUACGCUUUCUAAGAGUCGAGUUGUUUGGGAAUGCAGCUCAAAAUGGGUGGUAAAUGCCAUCUAAGGCUAAAUAUUGGGGAGAGACCGAUAGCGAACAAGUACAGUGAUGGAAAGAUGAAAAGAACUUUGAAAAGAGAGUUAAACAGUACGUGAAAUUGCCAAAAGGGAAGGGUAGGAGGUCAGAGAUGCGGCCUAGGAUUCAGCCUUGCUUUUGCUUGGUGUUUUUCCUAGAUUGCAGGCCAACGUCGGUUUUGGGCACUGGAGAAUGGUGGAAGGAAUGUGGCACCUCUCGGGGUGUGUUAUAGCCUUCUACUGGAUACAGCGACCGAGACCGAGGACAGCAGCGUACUCGCAAGAGCGGGCCUUCGGGCACCUUUACGCUUAGGGCGUUGGCAUAAUGGCCCUCUACCACCCGUCUUG
rnacentral:rRNA from 1 species